rnacentral:lncRNA from 1 species
UAGUGUCAUAAUACACCAUGAGGUGGUUGGGUCCCGUUUCCAGAACAACCAGAGUGAUGUCUGAGCAAUGCUCUCUGAACAAGGCCUUCGUGUCUGCUCCCCAAGGGGGCUGCUACGUUCUUAGCUUCCCUCAAUGUAAUUCUUUUAUGAUAAAAAGAAGGGUGAACAGAAAAUGUUCAGAGCAAUCAUCCUCUGAAAAUUCAUAUAAAUGACAGCAGAAAUGUAAGAAGGAGAUUGGAUUUCAAUCCUCUUGGAAACAAUUGAUUUGGAAGUGGUCUGUGGUCUAAAGAGUUUGACAAAAUUUUAGGAGCAAGCAAAGAUGAUACAAAUAUAUAAAGGGACAGAACAGAAGGGAGAUAGCCACAUUUCAGAAAACAUGGAGAAAUUAUAUAAGUGAUUCUUCCCGAGAAAUUCUUCAGAAAUGUCCAAAGAAAAAAUUAUGUACUUAGAAAUCUAACUGUGCGACGACUGCAAAAUCCUCCUUUAUCUUCCUCUCCCUGACAUGCAUGCAAACACACACACACACACACACACACACACACACACACACCCUGAGAUUUGCAUCAUUUGUCUUUAGGCUAAAAUAAGGGAAAACAUUUCAAAAUGAUUUACCGAUUUUUUUAAAUGACGGGCACAGUAACCACAAUUAAGUCUUCCGUAUUUGGCAUUGGAAUGAAGGUAACGAGAUCAAACCCUUCUAUUUACUUCUCCUUACUCAUCCAAAGAUGCAGUCAACCA